rnacentral:lncRNA from 1 species
CUCAUAUCUACUGAGCAUUCAUGAAGUGAGGCGCCAUGUGCCUUGCUCUGGCCAGCCCAGGACAGGCCAGCCGCUCUUGGCCUGCUACGGUCGCUCCGCUUCGGCUCUGUUCUGGUUCCAUCAUCUCUGGGUGGAACAGCAGCCCCCCACAUCAGGUGGCAGCGGGCGUCCGCUCUGGAAUAAGCCUCAGCCUCCCUCCUGCCCCACAGCUCUGUGGUGUCUUCUGGACCAGCUUCCUGCCCUCCGCCCGGCCUCCCUGGGCUCAUCCAUCUAUUAUUCACAGCACAAAAUGGAUUUUUAAUUUGAGAAAUGAAAUGACUCUCCCAAGUGGCCAGUGUGGCAAGGAGGGGUGGAGGAAGGCUGGAGCCGCAGGACGGUCACGUGGUUCUGACUCAGGCUCUCCCUGGCAAGGCCUGAGUGACAGCAUCCCAUCCCUGCCAUCAUCCUGUUCUAGAUGACUGUUAGUGCCAUCGUCACAUCACCUCAUCUAUCACCAUCA